CGCGGCCUAUCAGCUAGUUGGUGAGGUAAUGGCUCACCAAGGCGACGACGGGUAGCCGGCCUGAGAGGGCGACCGGCCACACUGGGACUGAGACACGGCCCAGACUCCUACGGGAGGCAGCAGUGGGGAAUAUUGCACAAUGGGCGAAAGCCUGAUGCAGCGACGCCGCGUGAGGGAUGACGGCCUUCGGGUUGUAAACCUCUUUCAGCAGGGAAGAAGCGAAAGUGACGGUACCUGCAGAAGAAGCACCGGCUAACUACGUGCCAGCAGCCGCGGUAAUACGUAGGGUGCGAGCGUUGUCCGGAAUUAUUGGGCGUAAAGAGCUUGUAGGCGGUUUGUCGCGUCUGCAGUGAAAAUCCGAGGCUCAACCUCGGACUUGCUGUGGGUACGGGCAGACUAGAGUAUGGUAGGGGAGACCGGAAUUCCUGGUGUAGCGGUGGAAUGCGGAGAUAUCAGGAGGAACACCGAUGGCGAAGGCAGGUCUCUG
rnacentral:rRNA from 1 species